AUGAGCCUAAGGCCACCUUCCACGUGCUCAAAGCCAGGACCCACUUGGGAUCCUGUGUGUCGUGAAGUUCUUGCAAAGUACUGCCACCAUGACGCUGUCCCCACUGGGCUGGUUCUAGGCAUGUGGAAUGUAAGUUAUGGCAUCAUAGCAAUUUCCAUGGCAAUUUCAAAGGAGAUCCUGUGAGGCUGGACAGAAGUUUGUCACAGGGUCAGAGCCCCUGAAGAAACUUGUCCACUAGAAUGUGUCAUGGAGCCCAGGAAGGCAGAGGACUUGGUGGCAUUGCAGGGCCGACUUUGUUAAGCCUCAAACAUUAACCUACUACCUGAGAGAGAACCCAUGCUUAGUUUAGACAAAAGGGAAUCUGGAAGGAUUAAAGUUACAUCAGCUACUUCUAAUUUCUGAUGAGUUAGUAUCUUGAAAUAAUGUACUCCAGAAGUAAAAUGACUUGCCUUUGAGUUACUAUACUAUGCAAAAAGAAUUUAAAAAUGUUCUUUAAAAGCUUAGAAGUCAUGUCAGGCUGUGGUGGCGCAGGCCUUUAAUCCCAGCACUUGGGAGGCAGAGACAGGUGGAUCUCUGUGAGUUCGAGGCCAGCCUGGUAUACUGAGCGAGAUCCAGGACAGGCUCCAAAGCUCCACAGAGAAGCCCUGUCUCAAACAAACAACAAGCUCAGAAAUCAGGAGCUGGUGAGUUCUCCUGUUCGGACGCAAGGCAUUGCUUAUGCUAGGCAAUCACUCUGCCUCUGAGUUACAUCUCUGAACUUUGAGAAGAUAUUCUUAUUGGCUCAGUCCCCUCUGAUAGGAGAAUAAAAGGCAAGUGGGAACAGGCGACAUUUCCCACUUCCGGCUCCAACAGUCUCAGCGAUGCUGUGCUUUUCCACCUUGGCUCUGCCAGUGGCAAGACGCAGGGUGAUGGCUGCUGGGCUUCCUGCAAAGCAGAUGCCAGAAGCAGUCUGAAUAAUCUUCCACUAACCCCUCAGAAGCUCUAGAUUUGUGGGUCUGGAUACCCGUGUUUCACUUUGCUUUUCCUAGGGCUAGGAGAGCGGCUGCUGUUUCUCAACAUUGCUAUCAAAUGUGAGCAUCAGUAAUUCAAAGUUACCUCUGAGGAACAGCAGCUUCCUCCUC